rnacentral:lncRNA from 1 species
AUGAAGGGGCGGCUGCACGAACCGUCCAAUCAGGUGGGCCGAGAUAGCAGGGCUCUUCCGGUGUCAUGGCGCCAAACUGAUGCGAGUCUCCCAGCUGGCCAGGCCGCUUUCUUCGGGGACUUCUGCCGGCGGCGGGCUGCGCGGAAGGACCCUGGGCGACCCUCACGCCACGCAAUGCUCCAGCCAGCUCUCCUGCUGUACCUGCUGAUGCACCUGUUUACAGUGCUGGGGAAUCUGCCCAUCAGGCUAAUGUGUGGAAUGAAUGGACACCACACACAUCCAUGUCCUUCUUGUCUGAUAUCUCCAUCUUUAAAAUUGUGUUCAGUGUGAUAAUCAAUGCUUAUCAACCUGCUGUGCUCCACUGCUGUGUCACAUGUGUGACAAGCUAAUCACAAGUUCUUCAGUUUUUGCUACAUUCAACUCUUCUUCAUGGUUAUGGG